rnacentral:rRNA from 1 species
AACGAACGCUGGCGGCAGGCUUAACACAUGCAAGUCGAACGCGUGCAGCAAUGCACGAGUGGCGCACGGGUGAGUAACGCGUGGAUAUCUGCCUGUUGGUUCGGAAUAACCCCGUGAAACUGGGGCUAAUACCGGAUGGUUCCUACGGGAUAAAGAUUUAUCGCCAAAAGAUGAGUCCGCGUCCGAUUAGCUAGUUGGUGAGGUAAUGGCUCACCAAGGCGACGAUCGGUAGCUGGUCUGAGAGGACGAUCAGCCACACUGGGACUGAGACACGGCCCCGAACCCUACGGAAGACAGCAGAGGGGAAUAUUGGACAAUGGGGGCAAACCUGACCCAGCCGUGCCGGGUGAGUGAGGAAGGGCUUCGGGUUGUAAAGCUCUUUUGGCGGGGACGAUGAUGACGGUACCCGCAGAAUAAGCCCCGGCUAACUUCGUG